rnacentral:tRNA from 2 species
CCCUGGUUAGCGCAGUUGGUAGAGCGCUCCACUGAAAAUGGAGAAAUCACGGGUUCAAUACCCGGACCAGGCG